UCUAUAAUGUUACUAUAUACUAGAAUUCAAUCAUGAGAAUGCAAAUCCUUAGCUAUAAU
rnacentral:sRNA from 1 species